rnacentral:rRNA from 1 species
AAGGUAGCAUAAUAAAUCGCCCUUUAAUUGUGGGCUAGAAUGAAUGGACAAACGAAAAAGAAUCUGUCUCAAAAAUAACAAUAUAAAUUAUUCUUCAGGUGAAGAAACCUGAAUAAAAUUAAAGGACAAGAAGACCCUGUAGAGCUUAGUUCUCUUUUAUUAACUAAGUCAAUAACUAUAACCAUUAUCUUAUUCAUCUACUUUAAUAUAGAACUUAGCUGGGGCGGCUAGGGAAAAUAAUCUUCCCCUCUAAUAAAUAGGCUAAUAAGCCUUACACUUGACCCUUAAAAUUUAAGAUCAAAAAACAAAGCUACCUCAGGGAUAACAGAUUAAUCCUUCUCGAGAGUCCACAUUGACAGAAGGGCUUGACACCUCGAUGUUGGCUUAAGGUUCCCAAUAAAUCAGCAGCAGUUUAUUAUGGUAGGUUUGUUCAACCUUUAAAACCUUACGUGAUCUGA